rnacentral:lncRNA from 1 species
GCCAGGGGAGGUGUGAAUGGGCAAUAUGUAGUCAGAGAUGGAGGCAUGGGCCUUCCUAGCGGAGGGACUGGCAUAUGUAAAGGCCUUGAGAUGGGAAGACACAUCAUCAGAGGUCCCAACGGAGGCCCUAGGGAACAGCUACUUGGCACAGCCCCAGUCCCCAUCUCCUUCUGGGGAGCAUCAGCUGGACCUGGAGACCUCGGUUCUUGCCCCAGGUUGGGCACUUCUUGCUGUCACCAUCAGCCAGUCCUCUCUCCUCUUUGGCCUCAGUUGGCUCAUCUGUACAGUGAGAGGUUGGGCUCUGUGAUUCAUAGUUGCAGAUACUGACUGGAGUUCCUCUUUCUGCUCACACUUAGACGUCUAAGAGUAAGUAGUGAGUCAGGCAGGGUCCCAGCCCUCAGGGGUUUCCCAUGACGGGAGGGAGAAAAGAGACAGGCCAUAUCUUAGGGAGAAGAAAGCCAGACCUAGCAUUAGAUGAAGGAACUGUGGGCUGCCUGGAGGAAGAAGAACAUGGAGAAGAGCUCAGAGCAAGACAAAGUGGGAACAGGAAUGCCCUGUAGGUUUGGUCAACUCAGUGUGUGUCAAUGGGAAAAACCGAGAUCAUCCCCUCAAAGUAGAGAUAGCCAGAGUGAGGCCACAGCGAUUUUAUUUGGAGAAUGAAGGGCAGAACCACAGAGAUCUCAGGAGGGAGGGCAAAGGUAACUCAUCGUCAUCCACAGAGAGGGGACUCAGGAUUACGCUGUGCGUCCAGGCCAUCUUCCCUCCCAGCCCAGCCUUGGCACAAGUCGGCCCCAGGAUCAUCAUGUGAUAGAGCCUGAAGCCUGUCUCCCCAAGUCCCUGGAAAGUAGACAUCUGUGACAAUCCUCCCGAAUCCCAGGGCACAGGGAGCAUGGCUGAGCACGCCAGACUGCCUGGGCUCAAAUUCUGUCCUGCCAUGAACUGCCUGGGUGUCUUUGGACAAGUCAUUUGACAGCUCUGAGCCUCCGCCUUCUCAUCUGAGGACAACAGGAAUAAUGAGGGUACCCACCUCAUGGGGAUGUGAUGAGGCUUAAAGAAGAAAAUGCAUGCAAAGUUUUAGCACAGUACCUGGCAGUGAGUAUAUGUGCAAUAAUAUUAAUUAUUACUAUUUUAUCAAGAGGCCUGGAUUCUGGUCCCAGUUCUGCCACUGUUUUCCCUCCCUGGGCCUGCUUGAGUUUCUGUCUAUAAAGUAGGUGUUAAUUGAUUAAAUGAGAUAAUGGAUGCCAAAGAAGCUUCUGAGAUGAGUGAUUAUUUCUGCCCUUUGAAGUUCACUUCCCCGAGGCUGCAGGGUGUUGUCACCCCCACUCUGUCAGGUCUUUACUGGGCUCUCCGUCUAGGCCAGGACCCGUUGCUGAAGGGUCAGCCCAUCUCCUCCCUUCUGCCCACAAGGCAGAAU